GAUGAACGCUGGCGGCGUGCUUAACACAUGCAAGUCGAACGAAGCAUUUUAGCGGAACAUUUUCGGAUGGGAAGUUAAAAUGACUGAGUGGCGGACGGGUGAGUAACGCGUGGAUAACCUACCAUAUACAGGGGGACAACAGUUGGAAACGACUGCUAAUACCCCAUAAAACUCUAGUAUCGCAUGAUACAUGAGCCAAAGAUUUAUCGGUAUAGGAUGGUCCCGCGUCUGAUUAGCUAGUUGGUGAGGUAACGGCUCACCAAGGCGACGAUCAGUAGCCGGCCUGAGAGGGUGAACGGCCACACUGGAACUGAGACACGGUCCAGACUCCUACGGGAGGCAGCAGUGGGGAAUAUUGCACAAUGGGGGAAACCCUGAUGCAGCGACGCCGCGUGAGCGAAGAAGGCCUUCGGGUCGUAAAGCUCUGUCCUAAGGGAAGAAACGGACGGACCGUUAGGAGGAAGCCCCGGCUAACCUACGUAGCCAGCAGCCGCGGUAAUGAGUAGUACGA
rnacentral:rRNA from 1 species